AUAACAACUCAUGGAAAAUGGCCACAGUCUCUGAGGUUUUGGGGAAAAUGCACAUUCUUGUCAGAUUACUUGGAUCCUCUCAGGAGUUUAAAGUAAGAAAAACCGAUAUCCGGGUUAGACAAUCGUGGAAAGAUGAUGAUAAUGCAUGGGUUAUGGCUGGAAAGGGAAAUAAAAAUUCUAAUGGAGGGAAGUUCCAUGCCAAUCCAUUUUUGAACAAUAGU
rnacentral:misc_RNA from 1 species